CUUUCCUUUUUCUUGAAGUUUGGCAUGUGAGGUUUUCCUUCAACUAUUUCACCGCGAAGCAGUCGUAUGCCAGAUGUCCAUAACACGUUUUGAUAUUAGCUGGGUAGUAAUGCGAUUCGUAAUUAGCAUCUUCAAAUGAAAAACUUGUAUCAUUUAGCUGAGACGCUAGUUGAUAUUGUCAUCAUGCAGCAGUUACGUAUGAUAAAAUCGUCCAUAUCCAAUUCGGGAACAGGAAUGGCUCAUUGCAAUGCACAUGGUUGCCACAGUGUUGAAGCAGACGUAUGACGCUUUUGAGACUGAGAGGACUGUAAAGGAUGGGUUCAGGAGGACAGGUAUCUUUCAAUUUGACCCACAUGUCAUGGCUGGGUCAAUGUGGUGUGGGAGGGAAGAGAUGAGGCCUGAAGUCAGUGCUGCUGGACCCUGUGAUGAUGGGCCAAUGGAAGAACAACCCGAACGAGUGUGUCCGAGACCAUGGCAAGAAGGCAGUAAAGAGGAAUCUGAUGUCAAACUGGUGCUGCCUGGGUCAUCCUUGCCAGUUUCUAUGCCAUCGGAGUCUGUUCUGAAGCGAGAGGAGAUAUUUGAAGUAGUGCUUAAAAAACAAGAGGAAAUUAAGGAGGAGGAGUUGAAUGUUGUGUCAAACAUAUCCUCAGUAGACCUUCAUGUCACGGACUCCAGUGAGUUGAGGAGACAGAACUGCACAACAUUUUUUAAAUAAUGCCAAUAAUCAAUAUUGGAUGAUCAUUAUCAAGUAAAACCUAUCGAGUGGGAGGGCAAAGAGGCAGGUGCUCGAGCACAAGUAGAUCCCUAUCUGUGCACGUGCCUGGUUUACCGUGUGGUCUAAAUAAAGUCAUAUUGGAUCAUUGAUUGAUGUAGACCUUUUCAAUAAAAUGACAUUUCCUAAAUCUCAAUUCACUGGAAAAUCUACAUGAUGUGUGAUGAGGUAUCCUCUUUAGUGCCCUAUAAAUUCGACAUAAUAGUUUG
rnacentral:lncRNA from 1 species